rnacentral:rRNA from 1 species
UUGUGAUGUUGUGAUUUAAUACGUAUAUUGUGACAUCAAAGGCUUCUAUACACUUCACGUCGAAGACAUUGCCAGGUGGGGAGUUUGACUGGGGCGGUACAUCUCCAAAAUAAUAACGGAGGUGUCCAAAGGUCAGCUCAGUGUGGACAGAAACCACACGUUGAGUAUAAGGACAAAAGCUGGCUUGAUCUUGAUAUUCAGUACGUAUCGGGACGGCUAAUGCCUGGCCUUACGAUCCUUUUGGCUUUAAAGAGUUUUUAACAAGAGGUGUCAGAAAAGUUACCACAGGGAUAACCGGC